rnacentral:misc_RNA from 1 species
GAUGAAGAACGCAGCAAAAUGCGAUAAGUAAUGUGAAUUGCAGAAUUCAGUGAAUUAUCGAAUCUUUGAACGCACAUUGCGCCCGCCAGUAUUCUGGCGGGCAUGCCUGUUCGAGCGUCAUUUCAACCCUCAAGCACAGCUUGGUGUUGGGACUCGCGUUAAUUCGCGUUCCUCAAAUUGAUUGGCGGUCACGUCGAGCUUCCAUAGCGUAGUAGUAAAACCCUCGUUACUGGUAAUCGUCGCGGCCACGCCGUUAAACCCCAACUUCUGAAUGUUGACCUCGGAUCAGGUAGGAAUACCCGCUGAACUUAAGCAUAUCAAUAAGCGGAGGA